rnacentral:rRNA from 1 species
UACGUAGGUGACCAGCGUUGUCCGGAUUUACUGGGCGUAAAGAGCGCGCAGGCGGUCGUUCAAGUCGAGUGUGAAAGCCCCCGGCUCAACUGGGGAGGGUCAUUCGAUACUGAUCGACUUGAAGGCAGGAGAGGGAAGCGGAAUUCCCGGUGUAGUGGUGAAAUUCGUAGAUAUCGGGAGGAACACCAGUGGCGAAGGCGGCGAUCUGGAAGCGUACUGACGCUGAGGUGCGAAAGCGUGGGGAGCAAACAGG